AGUGUCUUGGACUGAUUGUGGUGUCCUUAUUUCAGCUUCCAUCAUUGUGAUGCAAUCAUGAUCUUGUUCCUUGUAGAGAGAGUCGGUUGAGGUCCAUAGUUCUUCUUCCUGAAGAUCCUCUUCAGCAUGUAGAUCAAUAAAAUCUUCAGAAUCUCCACCUGCAGUACCCUCAGU